rnacentral:rRNA from 1 species
GAUGAACGCUGGCGGCGUGCCUAAUACAUGCAAGUCGAGCGAACGGACGAGAAGCUUGCUUUUCUGAUGUUAGCGGCGGACGGGUGAGUAUCACGUGGAUAACCUACCUAUAAGACUGGGAUAACUUCGGGAAACCGGAGCUAAUACCGGAUAAUAUUUUGAACCGCAUGGUUCAAAAGUGAAAGACGGUCUUGCUGUCACUUAUAGAUGGAUCCGCGCUGCAUUAGCUAGUUGGUAAGGUAACGGCUUACCAAGGCAACGAUGCAUAGCCGACCUGAGAGGGUGAUCGGCCACACUGGAACUGAGACACGGUCCAGACUCCUACGGGAGGCAGCAGUAGGGAAUCUUCCGCAAUGGGCGAAAGCCUGACGGAGCAACGCCGCGUGAGUGAUGAAGGUCUUCGGAUCGUAAAACUCUGUUAUUAGGGAAGAACAUAUGUGUAAGUAACUGUGCACAUCUUGACGGUACCUAAUCAGAAAGCCACGGCUAACUACGUG